GUACGGGGGGGGUAAGCGUUGUUCGGAAUUACUGGGCGUAAAGGGCUCGUAGGCGGCCAACUAAGUCAUACGUGAAAUCCCUCAGCUUAACUGGGGAACUGCGUGUGAUACUGGAUGGCUUGGAUUUGGGAGAGGGAUGCGGAAUUCCAGGUGUAGCGGUGAAAUGCGUAGAUAUCUGGAGGAACACCGGUGGCGAAGGCGGCGUCUGGACUGCAACUGACACUGAGGAACGAAAGCCAGGGGAGCAAACGGG
rnacentral:rRNA from 1 species